CUCUAGUAAAUUAACCUUAAAAUUUCUGCAAUCUAUACCACAGAUGCUGUUCUUUCUGUUUCUUUGUGUUUUUACUUUGCAUACAUUACUCUCAAUAGGAAACUGUUGAACUGUUGUGGAUUUGUGUGCUUUUCCAUUGCAUAAAAACCACUGUAACACAAAUUUACUGAGUGUAUUUCCACCCUUGUGUCAAUAAUCAUAUAAUUAGUAUAUAUAUUUAAACUUACUGUUUGCG